UACGUAGGGUGCGAGCGUUGUCCGGAAUUACUGGGCGUAAAGAGCUCGUAGGUGGUUUGUCGCGUUGUUCGUGAAAACCGGGGGCUUAACCCUCGGCGUGCGGGCGAUACGGGCAGACUUGAGUACUGCAGGGGAGACUGGAAUUCCUGGUGUAGCGGUGGAAUGCGCAGGAUAUCAGGAAGAACACCAACGGCGAAGGCAGCUCGCUGGGACGGAACUGACGCUGGAGACGCGAAAGCGUCGGGGAGCGAACAGG
rnacentral:rRNA from 1 species